rnacentral:rRNA from 1 species
AUUGAACGCUGGCGGCAGGCCUAACACAUGCAAGUCGAGCGAGCGGCGGGCGGGUGAGUAAUGUAUGGGGACUGCGCGAAAGCGAGGGAUAACAGCUGGAAACGGUAGCUAAUACCGCAUACUAUCGGAUAACCCAUAUGGGAUUAGCUAGAAGGUGAGGUAAUGGCUCACCUAGGCGACGAUCCCUAGCUGGUCUGAGAGGAUGAUCAGCCACACUGGGACUGAGACACGGCCCAGACUCCUACGGAGGCAGCAGUGGGGAAUAUUGCACAAUGGGCGCAAGCCUGAUGCAGCCAUGCCGCGUGUAUGAAGAAGGCCCUAGGGUUGUAAAGUACUUUCAUUCGGGAGGCGGUACCGACAGAAGAAGCACCGGCUAACUCCGUGCCAGCAGCCGCGGUAAUUC